GACGAACGCUGGCGGCGUGCUUAACACAUGCAAGUCGAACGGAAAGGCCCUGCUUUUGUGGGGUGCUCGAGUGGCGAACGGGUGAGUAACACGUGAGUAACCUGCCCUUGACUUUGGGAUAACUUCAGGAAACUGGGGCUAAUACCGGAUAGGAGCUCCUGCUGCAUGGUGGGGGUUGGAAAGUUUCGGCGGUUGGGGAUGGACUCGCGGCUUAUCAGCUUGUUGGUGGGGUAGUGGCUUACCAAGGCUUUGACGGGUAGCCGGCCUGAGAGGGUGACCGGCCACAUUGGGACUGAGAUACGGCCCAGACUCCUACGGGAGGCAGCAGUGGGGAAUAUUGCACAAUGGGCGGAAGCCUGAUGCAGCAACGCCGCGUGCGGGAUGACGGCCUUCGGGUUGUAAACCGCUUUCGCCUGUGACGAAGCGUGAGUGACGGUAAUGGGUAAAGAAGCACCGGCUAACUACGUGCCAGCAGCCGCGGUGAUACGUAGGGUGCGAGCGUUGUCCGGAUUUAUUGGGCGUAAAGGGCUCGUAGGUGGUUGAUCGCGUCGGAAGUGUAAUCUUGGGGCUUAACCCUGAGCGUGCUUUCGAUACGGGUUGACUUGAGGAAGGUAGGGGAGAAUGGAAUUCCUGGUGGAGCGGUGGAAUGCGCAGAUAUCAGGAGGAACACCAGUGGCGAAGGCGGUUCUCUGGGCCUUUCCUGACGCUGAGGAGCGAAAGCGUGGGGAGCGAACAGGCUUAGAUACCCUGGUAGUCCACGCUGUAAACGGUGGGUACUAGGUGUGGGGUCCAUUCCACGGGUUCCGUGCCGUAGCUAACGCUUUAAGUACCCCGCCUGGGGAGUACGGCCGCAAGGCUAAAACUCAAAGGAAUUGACGGGGCCCCGCACAAGCGGCGGAGCAUGCGGAUUAAUUCGAUGCAACGCGUAGAACCUUACCUGGGUUUGACAUGGAUCGGGAGUGCUCAGAGAUGGGUGUGCCUCUUUUGGGGUCGGUUCACAGGUGGUGCAUGGCUGUCGUCAGCUCGUGUCGUGAGAUGUUGGGUUAAGUCCCGCAACGAGCGCAACCCUUGUUCACUGUUGCCAGCACGUUAUGGUGGGGACUCAGUGGAGACCGCCGGGGUCAACUCGGAGGAAGGUGGAGAUGACGUCAAGUCAUCAUGCCCCUUAUGUCCAGGGCUUCACGCAUGCUACAAUGGCUGGUACAGAGAGUGGCGAGCCUGUGAGGGUGAGCGAAUCUCGGAAAGUCGGUCUCAGUUCGGAUUGGGGUCUGCAACUCGACCUCAUGAAGUCGGAGUCGCUAGUAAUCGCAGAUCAGCAACGCUGCGGUGAAUACGUUCCCGGGGCU
rnacentral:rRNA from 1 species